rnacentral:rRNA from 1 species
UGGGGAAUUUUGCACAAUGGGGGGAACCUUGAUGCAGCGACGCCGCGUGAGGGAUGGAGGCCUUCGGGUUGUGAACCUCUUUCGCUCGUGUGCAAGCCGCUAUUUGGGUAGUGGUGAGUGUAGCGGGUAAAGAAGCCCCGGCUAACUACGUGCCAGCAGCCGCGGUAAUACGUAGGGGGCUAGCGUUGUCCGGAAUCACUGGGCGUAAAGGGUUCGCAGGCGGAAAUGCAAGUCAGGUGUAAAAGGCAGUAGCUUAACUACUGUAAGCAUUUGAAACUGCAUAUCUUGAGAAGAGUAGAGGUAAGUGGAAUUUUUAGUGUAGCGGUGAAAUGCGUAGAUAUUAAAAAGAAUACCGGUGGCGAAGGCGACUUACUGGGCUCAUUCUGACGCUGAGGAACGAAAGCGUGGGUAGCAAACAGG